CCUACGGGGGGCUGCAGUGGGGAAUAUUGCGCAAUGGGCGAAAGCCUGACGCAGCGACGCCGCGUGAGGGAUGAAGGUCUUCGGAUCGUAAACCUCUGUCAGCAGGGAAGAACGGUCACUGUGCUAAUCAGCAGUGAAUUGACGGUACCUCGUAAGAAAGCCCCGGCAAACUACGUGCCAGCAGCCGCGGUAAUACGUAGGGGGCGAGCGUUGUCCGGAAGGACUGGGCUGAAAGGGAGUGUAGGCGGCAUAUUAAGUUAUGUGUGAAAGCCCGCGGCUCAACCGCGGAAUUGCACAUAAAACUGGUAAGCUGGAGUGCAGGAGAGGUAAGUGGAAUUCCCGGUGUAGCGGUGGAAUGCGUAGAUAUCGGGAGGAACACCAGAGGCGAAGGCGACUUACUGGACUGUAACUGACGCUGAGGCUCGAAAGCGUGGGGAGCAAACAGGAUUAGAUACCCCUGUAGUC
rnacentral:rRNA from 1 species